rnacentral:lncRNA from 1 species
UGAGGUAGUGAAUUCAGAACCAGAUGGUCAGCACACCUCAACUCAGAUGGGAAGUGGACAUUUUCCUGAAGAAGGGUUUGGGAAAGCAAGUUAUUUUAGGAAUAUUCAAGUAGUUGAUGAUUCCAAUAAUCUAAAGGCACCAAAAGGAAUUGGAACCUUCACUGAACAAUCUAAUUGCUAUGAUGUUCAAACUGGUAGUAAUGGAGAUUGGGGUCAUUACUUUUAUUAUGGAGGCCCUGGUAAAAACUCCAAUUGCCCAUGAAGAAGAAGAAGAAGAAGAAAAAACCCAUUUUCACUUCUCACAUAUAUUAAUCUCUCUCUCUCUCCCUGUGUAUCAUUCAAACUAGUAAUGCCUCUCUCUCUCUCUCUCUCUCUCUCUUGUAUACCCUUUUUUUACUGUUAGGCUUGGGUUAGUGAUGUGACCUCUUUAGUUGGAAGUUUUGACUCUUUUUUUUUUUUUUUUACUAAAAGAUUCUCCAAUGUAAGUGGUUGGGAUGUGGCCAAGUUUCUCAAAGCUAAAGAAACAGGCUUUUGUUUACUCUCGCUCUCCUUUGUAUUCUAUUUGUUUGCUAAAACUCCUUUUCUUGGAGUGGUUUGUGAAGGAAUGAAUUUGGUUCCCAUCUUCUAAUCUUUGAUUCUCCAUUUCCUUCUUCCAUUCUUUCACAUUCUUAACUUUCCUCUUGCUCUUAUUUUACAUAUAAUUUAGAGGGAAGGAACAAAUGGAGGAAGCGGAAGGGUUCAAAUUUGUUUGGAACUGGUUCGGUUUGCUUCUCUAUUUUAAGGGCAUCAAUUUGCCUAGACCCAAGCCAGGACCUGUUAAUGGGUUAAAUUAAUAAAUAAUAAUAAAAUUAAUAAUGUUGUAAAAAUAUUUAAUUCAUAUUUGUUUUUAAAUUUUUUUAUAAUUUAAAUAAAAUAAUACAUUUAUUGAUGGGCUAAUGGGUUUUUUUUUUUUUUAUAUAUAAAGAGCGGUAAAUCUCAUGUUUGAGUCAUUAUUUUCCCUUAUUAUAUAGUUCAUCGAAUUAUUUUUCAGUUAUCGAACGAAUAAAAAAUAAUUAGAAAAAAGCGUCUCACCUUAUUCUCCAUCCAACUAUUAAUAAUUACAGUAUAGAUAAACCAUGGCAUCCAUCCUCAAGACACUUUUGACUAUAUGCUAGGUUAGGUUCCUCCAUUUUGUGUAAAGCCUUCCAAUUUAAGAUUCCUUGACCUUAAUGAUCUUAAAAGUUGAAUUUCAUUUUAAACAUGACUUUAGAUGUGGGGAAAAUGCCAUUUUUCUGCCUACUACCCCAUAAUUUAUAGGAAGACAUGCCCUCCAGCCUGGUUGGUAUCAAUAUGAAAGUGGAAGACAAAGUGUUGAUUUGAUUAAUACUUGGAAUCUGCCACUUUAAUUGGGUUUAACAUACAUCACUAAUCAUGUAUUGAUAGACUAAGCCAAAACAUAUUUUUAAGUCCCUAAAUUUAUUGAGAUUUAUUCAUCGAGUCUUUGAACUUUUAUUUGUCAAUGUUGAAUUUUUUUUUUUUUUUUUUACUUUUAUUUCGGUUUAACUGUUAAAAUAAAUGAGGGUAACCAUCAAAUCCAAGUCAUUAACGAUGAAAAAUAGAACCUGGAGUAAUAUGAAAUGAUAGAAAUCCCUUUUCCCUUAAUUAAAAGAUUUCGAGUUUGACUCCUGUAUAUAGAGUCCCUUUAAAGUUAUAACUAAUUUUAUAUUAAAAAAAAAGUCAAUCAAAUUGAUUUAAACAAAGUCGGAGCAUAUGUAGAUUGGUCAUGUGCAAUAAAUUCAUCCUUAUAGUUUUCAUGAAAAAUUUUAUAGUAUCUUUAACUUUUAAUUUAACUCAUUGAAUACUUUAAUUUAUAAAAUUGCACCUAUUAAAUACGUUAAUUGAUUCAUCGAACACCUAAAUUUAUAAUAUUUAUAAUUAAAAAAAAUAUAAAAAACUAUUAUUCCAAAUGUUGUGUUAACUAAAUAUUAAAUUUAUAUCUUGCAUAUAUAAAAGUUAAAAAUUUUAAAAUUAUUUUCCUGAGUUUGAAAAUUUAUGAAAUUAUUAUAAAAAGCGAAAUUUCUGCUGACAAGGAUUGAUUGAUGUUAAAGUUUAGGCCCUACAAAAUUUUUUUUUAUCUAAAUUAAAGGUUUUUUUUUUUUUUUUAAUGUAUAGUAUCUGCAAAAGAACAUAAACUAAACAGAGAAGGAUGGCAGAUCUUCCACCCAUACAAGAAAUGGGCCAUUAGCAGAAGCAGACAAUAUGUCAAUAGUAGCAUUUGAAUUAUGCAUUGGCUAACACUACUGUGUGCCUUCAAGGCUGCUGUGCAAUUGCCUGUUUAUAAUUGAAAUUUUACCUCAAUCAUGUCAUGUCACAUUACUGUUACUUAAAUAUAUAUGAAGAUUGACUUAAAUGUAUGUAAUUAUGUUUUAUAAUUCACGCCCGAGUUAAUAAAAAAAUAUUAUUAUUAUUUAUUUUCCCUCCUUAUUUUUCAUCUCAUAUUUGAUUUGAAAAGAAAAUUUUCAUCUAGGCAGGGCGAAUUCAAAAUUUUCAUUAAAAUAAACACGAUAUUCAUGAAAAUAACGUAAGUGCGAAUUUUGGAUUUUCGUAAAAGUUGAAAAUCGAAAUUCAUUCAAAAGAACUCAAACAUAAAUUUAAGCUUGAUUGAAAAAUUUGUAAAUAGUUCGAAAUGAAAUAAUUAAUAUAUUAGUAUUAUAAAAAUAAUUAUUUUUAUAUUUUUUUAACUGCAGGGUUUAAAGCAACUAUAAAAAAUUUGUCAAGAGCAUAUAGUAUUCAAUCCCAUCAGCUUCACUAAAGCUUUGAACAGAAGAAAAAUGGCCUCUCUAAAACAUGUAAUCCCUUCUAGCUAAAAAAACCAGCAACCCUAUUGCCUUCUAAAAAACCUUGACGAAAUCAAAUCAAUUUGGGUGUAAAUAAUAAUAGGGAGAUAUCAGGCUCUACACAUAAGCGGUUCUACCACAGUACAUUACAGAGCUACCAGCCAAAGCUACUUCCUUGCAUGAACGUUCUUCCAAAUCGGAAAUAUAAAGCUUCUUACUUUGUGAAAACUUUUUCCAGACAAGUUUACCAUUGAUGAAUAAACGAAUUGGUGAGAUGUAUAAAGGAUACUUCAGCUUUAUCAUCUUUAUAGACUCAUAUUCCUUGUCCUUGAUUACCCGAAUUAUAGUGGUUCUACUUGAAUUUCUGGGUUCAAUCAAACAUAUACUUCCAUCAAUUUCAUUUAAUUCCGCUGAAUAUACACUUAUCUGACUCAGGCAACAAUGUUUCUUGGAACUUGUUGCCUGAUAAAUCAUAAGAGAUUAUUGCACUUGAACCUGCCGGUUUAUGCUUAACUAGAAAGUGUAGUGCUCCAUUCAGGAAUAGGAUUGGCCUGUUAGGUAACCCAACAUUACCUUUCAACUGAUAAUAGUCUUGGUGAUCAAUUGUUUUCCAAGAAUUAGUUCUAAGUGCAAAUAUUCUGAAGAUGAGUCCUUCUCCUUUUUCAUUUGCAGGGAGAAAAAUUCUCAGCAGUUUGUAAUCAUCAAUGGAGGAAUCAUACCCGAACCCAUGUUUCCAUUUGGUCCCAUCAGGAUCAAGAGGAGGGUUUGUAAUCACUCUAGUUUCUCUGGUAGACGGAUUCCAAAGAAUUGAAAUGCUAGUUUUCUCACAAGAACCAGAUGAAAACGCAAGUAAAACCAAGCCAUCGCAAGAACCUUGGACACUGACCCCCAAAUUCGAUUUUGAUUUUAGUUUUACUCUUAAUUCUUCUUCUGCUGUGACUUCACCAAUUUCUUCAGGAGCAAGAACAUUACUAUCUUGCGACAAGAAAGUAACUUCACCAAAAAGAAAGUAACUUUUCCGGUUGAAGGAGAAGUUUGUAGCUGUUUUGAUUGAGGAUUAAUCGAAUGAAACGAUGAUCUGAAAUCAGAGAUUACCAUUGUUUGGAUACAGAUUUUAAUCGCAACAAAGACCUAACAGGUGAUUUGAAGAGUAUCUCUUCAAUAAUUUCAAUGGGAAGUUGCGAUGAUGGAGUAAAACGCAAAUGCUUUGACGUGGAUAAUUCUUAUUUUGAGCAGAAGAAAAGAACGGAUGCUUCGUUGAUUGCUUAGCUUCUUUCCUUUAUACAUAUGGCAGAAUUCAAAUAGGAUUAGAAUAUCGAAUCCUGGUUGAAUUAUGAUACCUUGGAAGUUGAAUUUCUUUUCUAAAAAAUCACUGCUUUGAGUUUUUUUUUUUUUUUUUUUGAGAAAUUUAAUUCAUUAAUAAUGAAAUCAAGUAUUAUAAAUACUCAAUUAGACCAGACAUAGAAUUUAUUAUCAUAAUUAAUAGAAAGUUCAUUGAUACUUCAACAAUAAAAUAAUUAUUUAUCUUCUUUUGAAUAAAACUAAAACUAAAAGAAACAAUAUUGGAUUUUUUCGCUCGAAGAUAACCUUAACCGAUAUAAAUUUUCAUAGUAGCAACUGGUAUUUUAAUUGAUUUGGACGACAAAAUAAUUUCUCCGAAUCUUUUAUGCUUGGAUUGCUUUUCCAAAAACUUAUUGCGUAUGACGUACACGGAUGAGUUCAAGCUACUAUACGUUAAUAGCAUUAAUGGAGGAACAUGUCACAUUACUAGACUCUAUUGAUCAAAGAUACACAUCAAUAAGACAAGAUCUAAAUUCUCCAACAAAAUAAAAUCAAAUAUCAUACCUUUUAAGAAUAAACCUUCAUAAAGAAGGAACUAAACCCUCACAGAAGAAGAGACAAAAGAACUUCAAAUAUAAAGACAAAGCAACAAUUAACAAAAAAAAAAAAUCAAAGAAAAAAUAGAUCUAUUAAAAAAAAUAGAUGUGAGUUUAUUAAACUUUUAAUGCUUUGAGUAAUUAAAAUGCCAUUAUUUGAGCAUUUUGGAUCUUAAAUUAAUAAAUUUUAGAACAUUUUUUAUUUUAUACAUGAGAGCCCCAAUGGACCGGACUAGAAUAACAUUGUGGGAUGCAUAGCAGGGGACAACUCUCCCCUUUAAAUAACAUUCACCAAAUUGGUAAUAACUCUUGUGGUGGAGAGAUCUCAAUCAAACUAGGCCACACUUGAUUGACAAAUUUUAAAACACCUUAGUUCCUCAAAAUGUUAUAUUAGUCUUGAAAUAAUAAGAGAUUUUUUUAGUAUUUAAUAUAAUUAAAAUUCGUUAACCAAUAAAAUUAGUAUCUUAUUUGUUAGUCAAUUAUAUCAAAAGCAUCCUUUAUUUUUAAUUCUGCAAUAAAUUUUUUUUUAUAUACUAAUAUUGAAUUCAUUUUAUGAAUUUUUGGGUUUAGGCUUCAAAUUGGGCUUAUUUUCAGAUGGUAAAUGAUUGUUAUUUUAUUUGGCCCCAUGAAAUAUAAAAUCCAUGUGCUGUUUUUACUUGAAGUGGAAAAAUAAUUGAUGAUGAUAGGCAUAACAAAGAGGUUUGUUAAAUGUUGAUUUUUAGUUAUUCUUUGUUUGUUGGUAAAAUUUUGGAAUGUUUUGAGCAUUCUUAUUUGGUUAUUUAAUUGAUGAUUGUAAAUUCCUAUUAAGGAAUUUUCCUUACUACCAUAUAAGUUUUGUUAAAAAUUCAACAAAUUAACUUACGGGUUAUGACUCAGUUGGCAACGCAAGCUAGGCAUGUAUGAAGAGUUCUCAGAUUUGCUCUCCACUAAACACACAUACAGGGAGGGGCGAAGAGCCUUAAUUGUGACUUAACUCUAAGCCGAACUAGACGGUCCUGAUAAUAUAAUCUGGAUACCGACAUUUUACACAAACAAAAAAAAGUCAACAAAUCAAUGUCCACGUUUAUUUGCUCCAAUUAUUAUCUCUUUAAUCCUAAAAAAACAAAGUGUCACGUCUUUCAAUUUCUAAUCAAACAAGUUUAAAUUCUAAGUGUAUACGAGCCAUUUUCAAUUUCAAACCACUGAAUUUAGGAUUUCAAAUUUUUUGAGUUUUAUGGCAAAAGUAUUUUAUUCAUGAAACUGGUUCGUAGCAAUCAUUUGAUCAAUAAGUUGUUUAGGUGUAUUUUUACGGUUUGACAUUCUUCAAGUGUCUAGAUGGAAGGACUAAAACAUUAGACGGAAUCAAAUGUUAGGAAUAUUAUGAUAAUUUGACCCAAAUGCAUGGACGAAGUCAUUAAUUUAAUCAAAAUAUAGGGAUGAAAUAGUAAUUUUUCAAUCCAUUAAUUUCGCACUAAUCCAAAUCAUCCAAAAUCCUUGAAUCUAGGCAAUAAAAAUAUUCGCAAAGGCAACGAUGAAAGAGAGGUAAUCAUAUGAAUUAGCAAAGAUUACCAAUAAAAAAAACAAGAUCCAAUCAAUUAACCUCUCCCAUUUCUUAUCUCAAACACAUGAAACAUGCAUUUUGGAGUCUCUUCUAGAUUUAAAAUCCUUCAUGUGUUGGCUUAUAUUAUAUACUACUAUAUAAAUGUACCAAAAAAUCAUAUGUUUGGCUAAACAUUGUACUCACAAAAUGUUUCAAGGUUGAAUUUAAGACAUUACUUAAUUGUAUUUUUAUGUACAUUUUGUCAUCACUAGCUCAAUAGUAAUUCUUUUUUGUAUUUUUCUCGAAUUUAAGCCUUAAAAUUCAACUUGAGACCUUUUCUCAGCUUUAAUUUUGUGCGCAUUGAAUUUAAAUGAUACUAUUUACAAUUUUUUUUUGUUCACCAAUAAAAUCGUUUCAAGUAAAAUUCGUAAGUAUAAAUUAUAAAAAGUACUUAAAAUAAUCAACGAGGUGUUGGUUAUGCUGGAAAGCAACUUUAAUCCCCAUAACGGUAAUAAUACAAAGUUCGAUAUCUGAGAAGCUCAAUUCUCUAAAAAAGCAAAAAAUUUUUACGUUUUACGGUCCGAGAAGAUUACACUUUCCAAAAGAAUUGCCUAAAAUUAUAUUAAAAAUUAUAAGUAAAUGACUUCGUAUUUAUUUAUUUUGAAAGUAUAUUUUAAUUAAAUAAAAUACUAUAGUAUCAUUGUACAUUUUAAAAAUGUCUGCGUUGUCCUCUUUUUUAAAACAUUUGUUUUAGUAAUUUCAAUACAUUAAAUUAUUGCUAAGUACUUAUUAACUAAAUACUUAAACAAACUUUUAAAUAGUUUUAUCAAACAAUUAACUACUUAUUUUUAAAUUGACUUAUGAAUUUAAAAAUCUCCAUCAAUUCGAUUAAAUUUGAUAGUUUUUUUUAUUUUUUAUUCAUUAAGAUGACACUUUUAGAAAAUUAAAACAAUAUUAUUUCAAUUUUAUUCUAGAAGUGAUGUGAUUCAAUUAUUUUUUUUAAUUUUUAUGAAAAAUAAAAAAAUGUCAAAUUUAAUUAAUAAAAUGGAGGGAGUACAAUUUAAGACAAAAGUUAAAAGUAAGCAGCGGAAACACAUACUCUCUUGAAAAAAGUUUUUAAAAAAAAAAAAAAAAAACAUCUUUUGCAGGAAAUUUCUACACUCAAAUCCUUAAAAAAAAUAUUUUGAUCCGGCAAAGAAUAAAGGACUAAAAAGGUAUUUUAUUUUAAUUAAUUAGAAUCAUAAAGAAAGAAAGAGAGAAACAUUAGAUUUUUUUUUUUAUUUAUUAAAUUCUUUGUGUUGUGAACAUCAUCAUAAGAGAGAAAACAAAUGAUUUAAAUACUACAAGUGAAGGAACCAAUAAUUUUGUACAUAUUGAAAAUUUAAAGCAAUGCACAGUCUUGAAAACUUAAAUGGCAUUUACAGAAUUACAAAUGGAAGUCAUUUUGGUGAAAGAAGUAGAAGAAUCAAUUCAAUGGAAGCAUUGAAGAAUGCAUUUUUCAUUUGAACUUCAAGAUUGUGAAUUUUUGGUGGGCUAGUUGAUAUGUUCUUUAUUGCAAUUUAUUACUUUACCACAAAUCAUAAUGGAGGUAUUGUUUAUAGUUUUGUACUACUCGUCCCAAAAAAAAAAAAAAAAAAAAAAGUCCAUCUUUCCUUUUUUAUUUGUUUCAAAAUAUAGUCCAUUUUCUUUUUUUGCAUUAUAAUCAAUUUUUAAAUUAUCUACUAUACUCUUAUUAGAUUUUAUCUUAUUUUCUAUAAUCCUUAUUAAUUCUUACUUCUUUUUUCAAUAUAAUAAUUGGUCAUGUAUUAUUUAAGACGUACAUAAUAGAAAAGUUAUAUGAAUAAAAUUAUACUUUAACUAUAAUAAUUGAUAUUUCUUAAUCUAUGUGAAAAUAGAAAAUAUAGUAUUUUUUUGGGACGGAGAGAGUAAUGUUUAGUUUAAUGCAUCUCCUUCCUUCUUUUCCUUUCGCAGGUUAAUAUGAAUAUUGGUAUGGUUUUAUAUUUAACUAGCAACAUGCAUGUGCUAUGCACAGUAAAUAUCUUUAUUUAUAAUUUUAGAGAUAUUAUGAUAACACUUUAAAAUAUAAAAUUUAAUUAAGAAAAAAUUUCUAAUUUAAAUUAUUUUUAAUUUUAUAUUUGUUAAUUUUGUUGAAAAUUAUUUAAAUUAAAGAACAUCUAUUUCAAAUUCAAAACAUUAGACUAAAUAAUAUAAAAAUUAAUGUCUAUAAUAAAAUUUAAAGAAAAGGAAAUAUAUAUUAAAAAUCAUUGAUUUUAAUUUAUUUUUGAAUUAAUAAACUUUCUUAGCCGAUAUUAAAAAUAAUAAAAUAAAUAAAUUAAAAUGGACAAUAGAAAUUUCAUCGUAAAUGUAUACAUAUAAUUUUUAAUAAUAAUUUCAUAUAAACCGUUUUCUCUUAUGAUUUAUCAAAAUUUUCCUAAUUAGAGUAAUAGAAACUAGAAGAGAAAAAAAUAUCAAUGUUGAAAAGAAAUUGUAUAAGAAUUAUUGAAAUUACAAAGAAAAAAAAUGAUCUUACCAAACCUUAAAGAGCUCUCUCUAUUUAUAGUAUAGUAAUAUGCAAUUAAUGACAAUUCAAUAUAUUAUCAUUAUAACUAAUAAAUUAAACUAUAUAUUGCAAUUUUAAGACAAAUAAAUAUUGAAACGUUUGGUAUUCAUUAUUAAUAAAACUAUUAAUAAAUAUUUUCACCAUUAACCUUCUCUAUCAUUCUUUUAAAUAUAAAAUUUUUAUUUUCAUUCAUAAUAUUAAAUGAUAACAAUAAUUGAUUAUAAUGAUAUCCAAUGUCAAUAUUAUAAUAAUGUUAAUUUAAAAGAUAAGUUAUAAUACAUAUUAAUAUGAUAAGCGACAUCAAAAUUAUGAUAAUUUUUAAUUAAAAAAUAGAUUAUAAUAUUAUAAUAAUUUAAUUAUUUAAUACAUAUUAAUAUGAUAAUUGAAUGACAAUUAAGACCAAUAUUAUGUAAUUUUCAUUGAGAAAGAUAGGUUACAACAAUAUAAUAAUUAUAAUUAUUUACUAACAUGUAUUAAUUAUGAUAAUUAAAUAAUAAUUAAUAUCAAUAUUUAUAUAAUAAUAUAAGUAAUAAUUAAAUUCUAUUUGACACUGUUAAAAUUUAAGAGUCAUAUGUGACAUUAUAAUUCAUUUAAAAAGUGUAAUAUGCCAACUUAUUGGGAAUUGCUUUAUGUAUAUAUACUUGUGUGUUUUUUUUUUUUUUUUGAGUAUUGGUCGAGUCUAAUCUAUUGCUAGAUUUUAUAUGUACUUAUUACCAAACUAUGUCUUUGUGUUCAAAACAGAGAAAGUAUUAACUUGCUCAUGAAUAAUGAAUUGAUAGUUGCUCAUGAAACUGGCUUUGUUACAGAGCAAUUUUACACUUUAUUUGGGAGAAAAAAAAGGGAAGAAAUAAAGAAGAAAAAUAAAAUUAAAAAAUAUUUUCCUUUCUCUUUGUUUUUUUUAGAGAUGAAAUAUACAUAUUAUUAAAUCAAAUUAAAUUGGAUUAUAUCAUUGAGAAGUAAAGGGGAAUAAAUAUGUCAUUUUUUUAUUAAUUGGACUUUGAUUAAAAAAAUAAAUAAAUUUAAACAUGCUAUCCUAUAAUUUUACAUGUGGCUCAAUUACUGUCUCAAUCUAGUAAGAUUGAUAAGUUAAGUUGGACAUAUUUUGAUAAAUAACAUUAUUGGUGGAGUAUGUAUUAUUAACAUGAUGUAAUGUGUAUAUGAUAAAUAAAGAAAUAUUAUAACAAAAAUAAUAGCAAUUUGGGGAAUAGGGUUUCACAUGAGUUGUGAUGCCUGCUUAACUAAUAAACUGUAAUUAGUGACCAAUUUGGUUGCAAGUCAUUUUCUAGCAAGAAUUAAAAACCAAUCUCCCAAAAUUCUUUACCUAAUUAAAUAAACUGAUUGUUUUAAGACACAAAUUCUUUAACUACUGAAACAAGAAAUUACACUUAUUUGCAUUCUCCAAAUUCACACAUUAGACUGACAUUUCUUUGCACAAAUUUAGGUUAAUUGUUUGAAAAAUCUCCCACUCUCACUGAAGAGCAAGUGCUACUAACUUAUCCACUUACUGAACUCUCAUAGGAAAGUGAGUUUCACUUGCUAAUGGUGAGAGUGGGUGUAGAUGAAUAUCAGACACAGAUGUAGCUGUUGUUUUUUUUAUAACCACUCUGCUGUUUCUUUUCUUUUCUCAUGUCUCACUUUCUCUUUCUUUUAAUUAAAAAAAAAAAAAAAGAAAACUUUUUUACUUCACACUUCACAGUUCACACAUUUGCAAGCAUUAGGGUUUUAUUUUUUACUUUACUUUUUCUCUCUCUUUGGAGCUGAGAAAUUAUCAAAGAAGAUAGAACCAAGUCAAUCAAACACCAGACAAACAAAACAAACCCUAAGCAGCUAAUUUUUUGCACUUGUUCAUCUUCUUCUUUAGCUCCAUACAACCAACAGAAACCUAGCUUCCUCUAUGUGAGGAGCUCAGUUAUUUGGUUUCAGGUGUCAUAACCCAUUUCCAAAAUAUGCCCUUUAUGCUCUAGUUUUAAACCCUAAAUGAGCUAUCUUUGCUAAAUUCAGACCAAAAUGUUAUUGCCCAUCAGGCGUACUUCACUUUUGUAGGUAAAAUUUCGUUCUAUCGUUCACUGCAUUACUUUUUUUUUUUUUUUUUUUCUAUCUGGGUUUCAUUUUUUUGGUUAAUUUUUCUUUUAUGUAUUUCAAUAUUGUGGAAGUGUUGUUGAUUUUGAUGUUUUAUGUUUAAGUAUUAAAAAAACAAUUCCUGGUUUCCUUCAUUUCUGUUCUUCAUUUGGGAUAUUUUUGUUACAUUCUUGAAUCUUACAAUUUUUUUUGCUCGUCUUACAUUUUUUUAUAUAUUACUAUAUAUUCUAAAAUUGAUUUUUAUUAUGAUGCAUGUGGGUAUUUAGGAGGUUAGAGAGAGCAGCCAUGGAAGGAGAUGAGCAUAGUAUUGUAUUGGCCUGCGCAAUUUCAGGGACCCUCUUCACAGUUUUGGGUUUAGCAUCGUUUUGGAUUCUAUGGGCGGUGAAUUGGAGACCUUGGAGGAUUUAUAGGUAAUCCACUCUUGGCUUUUCUGCAAAUUUUUAGAUUAACUAGUUUUCAUACUUUACAGUGUCACUGGAAUUCAUAGAUUCAGUUUUUGGAUUAAUGGUAUCUUUAAUAUUGUUGGUUUCAUGAUUUGGAUUUGAGGUUUCAUUACUGCAUAUUGCACAUUGCCUUCAACUUUAAUGUAGUCUAAAAUAUGAUUUAUUGGCUUUCCUUUAUGGCUUAAAUUUGUGAUUAAUUGAAAGUCACUGGUUUAUAUAAAAAAUCGAAGAACAUAAUUUCUUUUAAUUGAGAAUAGGUGGCAGAUCAUUUUAGACAAAAUUCCUUUUAAAAGUCAGUUUCCAUCUAAAAAGCCUGUAUCUUUGUCGAUGUUUAAUUAUCAAUUCAAUGGAUUUCUACAAAUUCUACAACAUUAUGGAGCUGCUUUUGUUGUGCUUAGUGAUUGUUUUGCAUACAAGAUGGUUGGGUUUGUAAAAUGAAUUGGCUUUUUAUGUCCUCACACAUGUUAUGUGCAUAACAAAUGGUGAAAUCUGAAAUUGCAUACAGUUAAGGUACAGUUACCAUUUCUGUUUGCAUUGUUUUACCAAACUUGAAAGUUGCAGCAAAAUGGAAUUUUAAUUUUCUCUGCAACUCAGUAAUACUUACCUGAAUGGUAUUCAAAUUGUGUUUCCUGCUUCUUUCCGAUGCUUGCUAAUGUUUUUCUGGAUACUAAAUGAAGUUUUCUCAUCUUCUGGUAUAACCCUGAAUGACAAGCAUUUAUAUUAUUGGGCUUCUUGAUGCACAUUGUCUUAAAUUGGAACCAAUAGUGGAAAGUUCAACAUAUUGUACCAACCGUGAAGCAUGAAAACAAAAGUAUGUUCCAUAAGAAUAUUGAUUAGCAUAUCCUGGAGAAAUCUCAUAAACCAUCUAUGAUGGAUAAAGGUAUUCUUAGGGGGAGAUUGAUAUGAAAUCUUGGCCUUCAUGUAAUAUUAUUAACCAUUUUGGGGUCUGUUGGGUGGAAAGUUUCCAUGAAAUGUUAUUCAACUGAUUGGUUGUUUGGUAAAAGUGUGUUUCUCACAUAUUCUAAUGGCAAGAAACUUUAGUUGGAAGAGAGAAAGUUGUUAUUAGUUCAUGCGAUGCGUGUAAAGUACACAGAGGGAUGUCUGAUCAUUUACUGCUUUCUGCAAGAUUGCAGGAGACUUGUGCUUGAUUUCCACCUUGCUAUUUUCUGUUCAUGGUUAUUGCUAGUGUUGAUUGAUAUUUGACUUGUUGCAGAGGUUAUGCAUGAGUGAGUGAGUGGUUUGAUGGAAGAUGGUUCCCCUAUAGUGUGGAAUAUUUGGAAAGAGUGGAAGUUUAGAACUUCUAUGGGAUUUUGGAAUUCAGUGAAUGAGUUUAGAUGGGUUUUGAGAGGGACUAAAUUAUUUGCUGCCUGUUUUCUUCUUUUCUUGAGCUUUUUGGUUCUCUUCUAGGAGUUUCGUUGAUGCUUUUGAUUUCAGGGACGAGCCUCUCCGUCUAUUUUCUUUCUUUCCCCCUUUGUUUUUGGUGCUCUUUCAUAUUUUUCUUGUGCUUGUGUUGUGCUUAUCUAAAGCAUUUGUUGUAUGUGAAAAAAGAGGAAAAUGGUUAAUCGAAUUUCGUGCAUAUGUAAAGGGCCUGAAAGAGAUAUGAGUUUGAUCUGAAGCAGAUGCAUAUAGUCACAAAUUGAGACCAGAUAAUUUGCAAUAGCAUUUGUAGGGGAAGAGAAAAUAAACAGAGAGCCCCCCGGGGUUCGAAGGGAGAUAAAAGGAUUGCUUGGAUCUUAGGACUGCUUUUAAAUGAAAGAUACCCUGAAUUGUACUUUCAGUCUUUUCUAUAAUUUCCCUUUCGAUGCACCGUUUAGUAAUUUUGUAGCAGUAGCAUGCAUUUUCUAGACGGGUAGAUGCUGGGAAAUUUCUUACAGUAGUUGAAGAAUCACGAGUUGUCAGUAUAUAGGCUUGUUCUCUCUGUUCCCCACGUGAAAGGUAACAAGAUAAUCUGGAAUGAGACUUGCAAUUGUUAUGAAGUUAACUCAUCCUUUUCUUUAUCUUUGGUUAUUUUGCACUUUAUUUAUUUCAUAUUCCAACAUACUUCUAAUGUUGUUAUUGAAAAUGAGGUCUAAUUAUAUUUUUGUGUAAUAAGACUGAGGUUGUUUCUAGCUGCCUAGUGCAACUUCAUAUGUGUUGUAUGAACCUGUAAUUGGUUUUGAUCUUUUCAUCCUUGGUGCUUUUCUCCUUUCAGCUGGAUCUUUGCUAGAAAAUGGCCAUAUAUUUUACAAGGACCUCAGCUGGGUGUACUGUGUCGUUUUCUAUCUCUAUUGGCAUGGACGAUUGUUGUAUCUCCAAUUCUUGUUCUUAUCAUGUGGGGCUCCUGGUUGAUUGUAAUAUUGGGUCGAGAUAUAAUUGGUUUGGCUGUAAUAAUGGCUGGUACUGCUCUUCUAUUAGCAUUCUAUUCAAUCAUGCUUUGGUCGAGAACGCAAUGGCAAAGUUCAAGUAUGUAUUUCCUUGACCUCAUUGUCAUUAAUGAUUUGUGUUAUUUUCCCCCAGAAAGAUGCAAACUUUUUUCUUUACAAUUCUUUUUUGGGAAUUUUUUUUAAUGUAUCAUUCAUGUCGUUUUGGAACUUGCUAAGAUAAUAUGGUCCAGCUGCCUGAUCGACUUUUUACUUCUUCUCUACAUUGUGUUGAGGUUUUCAUUUCAGUACUAAUAUUCCCUAUCACAUACAUGUACAAGUUUUGAAGUAGGCAUGUCUAAAGUGAACAUGGCACAUGGAAAUGAAACAAAUGAGCAGUUGACAUUGCCUUAAUCACGCUUGUGUCAUAAUUGUGCUGAUGUGAUUUUGACAUGAGAUAAUCGUGGCUAAUCAUGGAUAGAAUCAUUUUAUGAAGUUUGGAUGCAUAUUACAUGGUUAACUUUAUAUAUAUAGAGAGAGUUACAAAUUGAAGUUUUAAAAAUAUCAAGGAAAAUUUUGCAAAUUCUAGAAAUAAAAAUUAUGGCAAUCAAGUGUAUAGAUAUGCUAGAGUCUUAUGGCUUAUGUUCAUUUUAUCUCAUGACAAUAACCUGGAAUUCAUUGUGAAGUGACUUGAAAGUUGCCAUUGGUUGAGCCUAAGAGUUGGACAAUGAGCAGAAUGGCAACUAACCAAGCUGCUUAUGUAGGUUUUGACUGUUGAGUGUUGAAACAGUAUAGUGCUGAACCUUUCAGUCUAUGUUGCAAUAAAGUUGUAACAUAAGAAACAGAAAAUAUGAAUGUGAAAAAGUUCCCAAGGCAUAUGGUGUGGAGAAUGAACAAGAAGUUGCAAAAGAAGCAACAGACCUAAAAGUGGGCAAUGGAAAGAUGUAAAAGUGUGCUAACGGCAAAGGAGGAGCAUUUAGUAGUAUUAUAAGCUACCUUUUGUUUGGAUGUGCACAAUUGUAAUACAAAUAUGAGAUUGAUGAUGAAAAUAUAUUAGUGCUGAUUAAAAAAUUUUGUAUGUGCUUGUACAUGUGACUUUGCUGUUCUCUAUUCUAAGAACAGCCUUAGAAUAUAAUGAAUGAGAUUUUUUGUUAUUAGAUGGCUUAAGUAUAUGGUGCUGUCUUCAACUUGUUAAACGAAGUGUUGUGUAUCAUUAUGGAUUUAUUUUUAUUGUUUUUCAGAUUUGAAAAUUUAAGUAGAACAGUGAGAUUAGCUGCUGGUUCAGUAAAAGUUGAUAUGAGGAGGUCUAUUCAAGACUUAAUAUUUUUUACCUUAGCAGAAGUACUAAAAAACUAAUUCUGAUUGAGAAAUUGAAUGAGGUAUGAGAACAAAGCAUGAAGAACCAACCCUGGAAAUUGCAUGGUCUAGUAAGGUACUUCCUAUGCCAAGGAGGGAAAAAGUUCAUUCUUGACUAAGAGUGUAAAAUUUCUCAAGAAAUAACUGUUAAACUUAAAUCUCAAACCCAAUCCUAAAACUGUUGAUCUACUCUUUAAAACCUGAAUACUUUCUCUUCUACCGUUUGUACUGUUUGAGUUAAAGCCUGACAAAAUUCAGUCAUCACCCACUGUUUCAGUGAUUUACUUUCUGCGUUAUAAAUAUGGAAUCAUCUCAUAUUUAAUUUCCCAUUACAUGUUAAACAAGAAUUUGAUAGACCCUGGCACGUGGCAUUAGAACUUCAAUAAUGUGUUAACAAUAUUGUUUUGUAAAGCUUUUUUCUUCUGAAAGCUGCUUUAUAUAUUAUUGUUGCCUUAAUGUCACUUUUGUUGCCAGAAAUAGAAGUCUGACAUUGCUUUUUGGUUUUGAAUACAAUUUUUAUUUGGUAAUUUGGAUUCUCUUUUCAAUUGCAUUGAUUGUAUGUUUGAGCUGCCCAUUACUGAGCAUCCAUUUCAAUACAUUCUAAUGGGCUUAUAUGUCAUGAAGAAGGUGUGUUCAGAGUGGCAAAGCGCACAUUGUUAUAAUUAUUGAUAUUAUCAUAAGCAGAAUUUCAUUUUAUUUUAUGUUUCUUGUUUAUUUGAAACUUGACAUGCUGUCCUUCGAUUAAUUGAAUUUAGCUUCUAUCAGUGUAUAAUUUGACUUUUCACAUUAUUGGGAUACAUUUUCCUCUGGUUUCUCCUAGGUUCUCAGUAUUGCACUGAUUUUCUUCAUUUGAUACCUAACAGGGGUGGUUGCUGUUCUUCUCUUUCUGGUUGUUGCUCUACUUUGUGCAUAUGAACUCUGUGCUGUGUAUGUUACAGCUGGUAAAAAUGCAUCAGAGCGUUAUUCACCCUCUGGUUUCUUUUUUGGUGUUUCGGCAAUUGCUUUGGCAAUCAACAUGCUCUUUAUUUGUCGAAUGGUCUUUAAUGGUAAGAUUUUCUGUAUUUGUCACAGUAACUGCCUGUAUUGCUUCCCUUGUUACAGAUAUGUAAUCACAUUCUGAUAAUACUAUUUCAUGAUUUCCAAGUAUGUAAUCAGUUGUAUUUAUUUCUCUCAGUUUUUUGAUAUAAUUAAUGCUUUUGCCUUUGUUAUUGAUACCUACAGGGAAUGGCUUAGAUGUGGAUGAGUAUGUGCGCAGGGCAUAUAAAUUUGCUUAUAGUGAUUGUAUAGAAAUGGGUCCCAUGGCUUCUUUACCUGAACCGCCUGCUCCCAAUGAAUUGUAUCCUCGGCAAUCUAGCAGGUAAGCCUUGUUGAUAAUGUGUUGUGGGCAUGACCAAAGUGCGCACACUCUUUCUGUUGAUUAUUGGUUUCUAAUUCUUCUUCUACUUCUUGGUUUAUGAUAAUCAUACUAGUGGAUGUGUCUAAAUGUAGAUGAUUGCUUUAAGGGCCUGUUUAGCAUUGAGUUUGAAACUGCUUUUUGGAAAAACAUCAUUUUAGAUGCUAUUGAGAAAAGCAGCUUUGAAGUGCGGUUUAACUACUUUGAAGCCUUCAUGAUCAGGACAUGUGAAAUUCGCCUUAACCAAUUUUAAUGACCUCUAAUCAAAUUCUGGAACAUUUUGCUUUUUAUCAACAAAAACUCAAACAGACUCUAAGUCUGUCAAAAAUCUUCUAGAUUUAACAUUAUUUAAUACUUUUGCUCAGUUACAUGAUAUGUUAGGUGUUCUGCUUCUGAAUGGAUUAUUUCUUUUUUUCUGUUUUUCAGUUCUCCACAGUCUGCUAAUUGUGCUUUAUAUUUAUAGGGCUUCACAUCUUGGCCUCCUCUACCUUGGCUCACUUGUGGUUCUUCUUGUCUACUCCAUUUUAUAUGGUUUAACAGCAAAAGAAUCACGUUGGCUUGGAGCCAUUACAUCAGCUGCUGUUAUCAUCCUUGGUAUCUCACUUACAGCUGCAUUUACACAUAUUUUUCUAUUUGCAUUGCUUUCAUGCCAAUUACAUAGGUUUCCUCGGAUAUUAAUUAGUUCAUUUAAUGCUAUUUAGAUUGGAACAUGGGGGCAUGCUUGUAUGGGUUUCAGCUUCUUCAAAGUCGUAUUGUAGCACUCUUUGUUGCCGGCACAACCAGGGUGUUUCUCAUUUGCUUUGGCGUGCAUUACUGGUUUGUGUAGACUUUUGUUAAGCAUAACUGUAGCUUACCUGUUUUGGUUGCUAUUAAAUGUCAUUGUUGCUAUCCUUUUUCUUUUUAUUCAGGUACUUGGGGCACUGUAUUAGUUAUGCGGUUGUCGCAUCUGUGCUUUUAGGUGCUGCUGUUUCUCGCCAUUUUUCGGUGACAAACCCGUUGGCUGCUAGAAGAGAUGCCUUACAGAGCACCGUUAUUCGCCUAAGAGAGGGAUUUCGCAGAAAGGAACAGAACACUUCAUCUAGCUCUUCAGAAGGCUGUGGCUCAAGUUUAAAACGUAGUAGUAGUGUUGAAGCAGGUAACCUUGGUAAUAUUGUUGAAUCUGGUAGCCAGGGUAUGGCACAAUGCACAGUUGAUGCUAACAACUGGAACAAUGCUGUUCUAUGUCGAACUGUGAGUUCCCAUGAGGGGAUAAAUAGUGAUAAAAGCAUAGACAGUGGAAGGCCAAGUUUAGUACUUCGUAGCAGUUCCUGUCGUUCAGUGGUCCAAGAACCAGAAGCUGGGACAUCUGGGGAUAAACAUUUUGAUCAUAAUAACUCCCUAAUGGUUUGCUCUAGCAGUGGUCUCGAUAGUCAAGGAUGUGAGUCCAGCGUAUCUACAUCUGCUAAUCAACAACUUUUAGAUUUAAAUCUUGCUCUUGCACUUCAAGACAGGCUGAAUGAUCCCAGGAUUACAUCUAUACUUAAGAAGAAGGCCAGGCAAGGUGAUAGAGAACUAACUAGUUUAUUGCAGGACAAAGGAUUGGAUCCAAAUUUUGCUAUGAUGUUGAAGGAGAAAAAUUUAGAUCCAACAAUCCUGGCUUUACUCCAGAGGAGUAGUUUGGAUGCAGAUAGAGAUCAUCGGGACAAUACUGACAUCACAAUUGUUGACUCAAAUAGUGUUGACAAUAUUAUGCCUAACCAAAUUUCUCUUUCAGAAGAACUAAGACUUCAUGGGCUCGAAAAGUGGCUUCAGUUGUCUAGAUUUGUGCUGCAUCACAUUGCAGGUACCCCAGAGCGAGCGUGGGUUCUAUUUAGUUUCAUCUUCAUCCUUGAAACGAUUAUUGUUGCGAUAUUUCGUCCCAAGACAAUAAAAAUAGUGAAUGCUACACACCAGCAGGUGAAUACAGAUUCUAUCUCGUUCUCUAAAUUUAUGCCCAUAUUAGAUUUCCUCAUUUUGGAGUAAGGGACACAUUUGUUUAGCUCAAGUAAAUAAAGCUUAUGGAAACUUUUGACACAUUGAAAUGUUUUUGCAGUUUGAGUUUGGCUUUGCAGUGUUGCUAUUAUCUCCUGUUGUCUGCUCAAUUAUGGCAUUUCUUCGAUCGCUUCAAGCGGAAGAAAUGGCCAUGACAUCAAAACCUCGCAAGGUAGUGCAUUGUUUAUUGCAAAUUUUAACUUCAGAAAUGGGUGAAUUUGAAUGAUGUUAUAGUUUUGGGUUUACUUGAAAUGCCAUUGGCACACUUCAGAUAUUAUGUUUAGAAGUGAUUUUACUAUUUCAAACUACCAGGCAUCAUUACCUUCUGGUGUUAUGUUAGGAUUCAAUGUUGCCAGAUGUUCUAAACUUGUAAAAUGUGUUGGAAGCUAGAUGUGGAUGUUAAAAUGAUAAAUCUGACACUGCAUUGUCUCCCUGCUUCCUUUCUUUUUCUUAUAUUUUAAAUGUUGAACUUAACAAGUUCAAACUUUAUGGGAAAAACCAUUAUGAUGUAUUGCACCUACUUGAAAUUGCUGAACCACGGGCAUUGGGAAUUUAAGGACUUAGAAUAUGGGAUUCUCUGGUGAUCUGUAAAGGAAAGUGGUUAAUUUCUCUUCAUCGUGGAAGAUUUUUUAGCCUUUUUUUUGUUCAUUUUAUUUUAUUUAUUUUGGUUUUGUGUAUGAGUAUGGUGGGGGUACUCUGUCCCAAUUUGCUUGUUCUCCUUAGAGAAAAAUGUAUUUGUGUUGUACCUAUCUGCUCUCCUCCAUUUGACUUUCUUUAUGUAAUUUUGUUUUCCCAUUUUGUGAAUUCAUGGAAUUUUUAAUGGAACUAUUAGUUGUCUCACCUCUUCCAAAAUUUCUUUGUUUUUCAGUAUGGUUUUAUCGCCUGGUUGCUCAGCACGUGUGUAGGGUUGCUGCUUUCCUUUUUGGGGUAUGAUACACUUUUGUACAUAUACACUUGAACUCGGUAUAUCUUUUAUUUUAUAUCAAGAAAUCAAAUGCAUUUUAUAUUCACUGUUGUCAUUUUAUACUUUUCUUUUGGGGAACUUUCUUACAUUGGAUAUGCAUAUUGUGCUUCAUGAAGCAUACUCUGGUGUGUACUAACUGUUACACAUUCAAUUGAAAACUUGACCAUGUGUACCAUGCUUGCUUUCUGCGCAGAGUAUUAGUAUGUGAUUUUCCCUAUGAUUGGUAUUGAAUUCUACAAAUUCUUUCGUUCAUAUGCCUUUUAGUGGUUGUUAGUUUAGUGGUGCAAGCACUUUUCUUCCAAAUCAAUAAUUUAUGCACCUAUUUGCUUUCCACCUUGGCGCCACAUUAUCGUGGGCACAUUGCCACAUACUCAUGUGAAAAUGAAAAGAAAGUGAUUCAAAGUGACUUAUAUGAGCUCUUCAUGCUCAAGUUUGGUUACAUGACAUUUGAAAGUGUAUCGGGCAACUCAUAUCAUUGCCAAUAUGGUGCGUCUCUUUGUAAAAUUCUCUUUUUCCUCUAAAUGAGACAUUAUUAAAUACGUAUGUCAUUUAUGUUAUCAAACAAUGGCAAAUUACUAUUUUAGUCCUUGUAUUUUUCUUAUAAAAUCCAAUGAAAUGUUGAUUUUACCCUCAAAGGGUGCUGCAAAUUUUGUUCUAGCUACCAUUACCAUAUCAACCCUUUCUAUUCAUCAACAUAAAUGAGUUUCUGCAAUUUUUCUUUUUUUGUUGGUUUUUCACUCUUGUCAUAUCUGUCUCUCCAUUUGUUCUCUGUUACCUCCCAAACCUUGUCAAAAUAAUAUUCUUAAUUUGAGAGAAAAAAACACAAUAAAAUAAAUAAAUGAUCUCCCAGAAUACUCUAGGCAGACAGUUCAUUACAAUUGUUAAUAGAAAAAUAUUGUAGUUGUAUCUCUUGUAUAUCAUCAAUCGAUUACAUAGGUCUAUAUAUAAGGAAUUCCUACGCUACCUAGCUGUUUAGGAAUACAAAUCAUAAACUAAUUAGGAAUAUGUGUACUAUACUGAUUUUCCUUAAUACUCCCCCUCAAGUUGGAGCAUGGAUGUUACUCAUGCUCAACUUGUUACAAACUACUACUUUCAGCAAAACACAAUACCAUACUCAGCAACUGUACCCACUUCAUUAUAGCAAUAAAGAAUCCCAAACCAAAUAGUAGUAGCAGAAUCAAGACAACACACUUAGGUUGUCGAAACAAAUCUCACUGAACCAGAAAACAACUCACAGGGCUGUUUCAAGCUUCCAUAAUCAAUGCCUCAAAGAGGAAGCCCCGUAGCGCAGAUAUUCAGAAACGCAGCAAAGGAAACUCUGGCAAACGGAGCGCACCACUGAAGGCCAAGAACACAAUGCAACUCACUGGGGUUGCACUGCACUCGACAAAGGAGAAGGUUCAAAAGCAGAAUACCCNNNNNNNNNNNNNNNNNNNNNNNNNNNNNNNNNNNNNNNNNNNNNNNNNNNNNNNNNNNNNGAAAAUUACCUAAAACAAUUGUCACAACAAAGGAAAAAAUAGGUUUCCUCAGCAAAUUAAAGCAACAACAGUAGCAGAAGACUGCCCGACACAGCUGCAACAGAAUCGCAGCAAACAAACCUAUUGAAUAAGCCCAAGAAUGACGAUGCAACUCACUGGGUUGCACGUCUCUCUUCAAGUCAACACCAGAGAGAGGAACCGGAGUGAAAAAGACCACUGAACAUGCGCUAGCACAUGAACCAGAGCAGGAAGAAAGAGAUACCCAAAAUCAAAUAGCCUUUCAACGCAAACAGGAGAAAAAAGUAACUUGAAACGCCACAUUGACAAAACUGAGAACGUCCCUAUCAAAACUUCGCUGGAUCGGAAAAACAACCUGAGUAGAGUGGAAACGAAACCAGAGGACUAUUUCCGAUCGCCGAAAACAGCUGGAUGCGCCGCCACGCGCCGGCCCGUGUUACUGUCGCAGAAAACAGAAUCGGUGCGUGAGGCCCACGUGCAGGGAAUCCGGUGGCCGGAUUUGGAGGGAACGCCGUUUGGCAGCUGGAGAACAUCCCGAGGUCGGUGGUGAGACAAAAUACUAACCCUAGAAAGGCUUCCUAGGGUGGCAAUGGCUUCUCGCCAGGGAAUUUUUGGGAAAUCUCUUUCUUUUUUUUUUUUGUUUUUUUUUUUUUAAUGGAAGGCUCCGAUACCAUGUUAAUAGAAAAAUAUUGUAGUUAUAUUUCUUGUAUAUCAUCAAUCGAUUACAUAGGUAAGGAAUUCCUACGCUACCUAGCUAUUUAGGAAUACAAAUCAUAAACUAAUUAGGAAUACGUGUACUAUGUUGAUUUUCCUUAAUAACAAUUAAUAGCAACAAUCUAUAAAUUAACUAGACUAGUUUUUGAAAAACCUUGUUUAAAAAAAAAUAAAAAUUCAAACAAUGCAUUUGAUCCUAAGUCUUAAAUCUAUCAAGUUGUUAAUAAUCAAAACUCAUAUUAUUUCUAUGACUAAAUCAAAACAUUUUGCACAAAGAAAAACCACAUCAUCAGAUGCCAUAGGAUUACAAAUGUAGUUUGAAAUGUUAACAAUAUUGCUUUUUUGUUCAUUUGCUUCACACAUAUCUUGGCUUGAUUUGCAACAUUGUACGGCUUUAUUACGGUCAUGUGGUGACCAUGAAGCAAAAGAACUAGAAGGAAGAGGAGAAAGAUCAAGUUUCUAAAUCUGCGGUUCACAGCUGAAUCUAUGGUGACCUUGGAUGGCCAGAGCUCCAAUCUCCUUUGCUUUGAAGCUUGUGACUUUACUCAGCUACUGGAGCAGGCGCCUCAGUUUCACCAAUAACUCCAUAGCAAAUUCCACCCAUAACUUUCACCUUUCCAAUUUGAAAACCAAUUAACAGUUACCAAAACUCAAGGGAUAAAUCUUCAAAUCCCAAUUAUAUUUCAAGUAGAUUUAUUGUCCAAAACAGAAAACUCAUUUCAGGAUCCAUAAAUAUCAACAUUGAUCUUGCGCGAAAUAAGUAUGUGGUCUUAUUGCAAGGACAUCAAUUAGAGAGGGAAUGAUAAUUUAGUAUUGAAAUGUUAGCUUUAUUCAUAUUUUUGGUGUUUUUAGAUUGAAUUUCUUUUGACUUGCAGAAAAAUGGCUUAAACCUUAAUAGGAUUUAAAAUCUGGAUGGAGUUAAAAUAGAGGAAUUACUAAUUUGUUUUUUUUCCCCCUUGGAUUUCUUAACCAGUAUUGCUGCACUAGGGUAUGAGAUUAAUCUUGUUUCGAGGUUCGUGGCUGCCCUUCCCAUAAAGAGAAUACUAAAUUAAUUUUUAAAAAUGAAGGUCUUGACUAGUGUAUUUCAUUAUAAUAAACAAACUACAUAAUAAUUAACCCAUUAAAAGAGUCAACCUGAAGGAUUGCAUAUGUAAAAUGUUGUUGAAGACACAAUAAGAAUGCUUUAGAUUGUGUAAAAAAUGGUAUUCAUUUGAGAUUGUUAUAAUAUCACUUAUUGGCUUGGUGAAGUCUUGGUCUGUUGAAAAUUUUUGAUAAUCUUAGAUAUUUUAGAAUGAAUAAUGCUUUAUCUACACUCCGUAUGUUUUCUAUGAUUGGAAUUUUACAUUUGUGCGACCGAUAAGUUUAUUAUGCAAACUUUUUUUUCUUUUUUUUCUUUUUUCUGUCUACCAUGAUAAGUAUAUGAAUCGUAUCCUUUUCAAUAUGGGGGACUUAUUCCGUCUUGCUAAUUAUGUGGAAGUGCACUAAUUUGCUUCGUCAUCCAUUAAUUUACGUGCUUGUUCUGCAGCAAAUCGUCAGUUCUCUUGGGAUUAUCCUUAACUGUGCCGCUCAUGGUGGCAUGUCUUUCUGUCGCAAUUCCUAUUUGGAUUCAUAAUGGUUACCAGUUUUGGGUUCCUCGAGUACAAUCUACAGGUCCUGCUGGAAAUCAUCGCCCUUCUGGAACAAAGGAGGUUUGUUUCUUCCUUUCUUUCCCCUUUACCACCUUUCUCCUUUAUGUUUAUGUAAUGUUUAAAGAACUUAUAAGAUCCAUCAAGGUGGAAGUCUAUGGUGAUACCUGGCAUUUCUCACUUUUUAGUCAUUUAUUUUUAUGAUUAUGCGCUUUCAUUGUCUGUGGUGGAUGCUUUCUGACAUUAAUCCUUUGUUUGAUCUAAUUAUAUUUUUCUCACUGUCAGGGCAUUGUUCUGGUAAUUUGUAUGAUAGUAUUUACUGGAUCUGUAUUGGCUCUGGGUGCAAUAGUGUCUGCGAAGCCUUUAGAUGAGUUAGAAUACAAGGGAUGGGCUAGUGACCCAAGAAGUUUUAGCUCUCCUUAUGCAUCAUCAGUGUACCUUGGUUGGGCGAUGGCAUCUGCAAUUGCCUUAGUGGUUACCGGUGUGCUGCCAAUUGUUUCGUGGUUUGCCACAUAUCGGUUUUCCCUAUCUUCUGCUGUAUGUACUGGUAUAUUUGCAGGUAAUUUAUCUGUUGCUGGGUCUUGACUUGUGAUUAUACUUGAAAAUUUUAAUGUUUGCAAUUGAGGUAUCAUUUUUGCUUAUAAGUUGUGUGGAAUAAACAUGUGUCAUUUUGCUUGCUGUUGCUGUUUGGCAGUUGUUCUUGUGGCAUUUUGUGGUGCAUCCUAUUUGGAAGUUGUCAAAUCUAGGGAUGACCAGGUUCCAACAAAGGCUGAUUUUCUAGCUGCCUUGCUUCCUCUUGUGUGCAUUCCGGCAUUGCUGUCACUUUGCUCUGGAUUGCUUAAGUGGUGAGAGUAAAUUUUAUUUCAUUAAUUAAAGUUAGUCCAAAUGUAUGACUGAAAUUUUUUCAUUAAUGUAUGGCUGAAAUUUUUUCAUACAUCUUCAGAUGUUAAGACUUCACAUUGUAGUGGAUGCUUGUCCAGCUUUUGAUCUGAUGUUAGAAAUUCUUUGCAGGAAAGAUGAUGGUUGGAAACUCUCUCGAGGUGUAUAUAUAUUUGUUACAAUUGGUCUUCUUCUUCUGCUUGGUGCAAUCUCUGCUGUUAUUGUUGUAAUUCAGCCAUGGGCUGUAAGUUACUUUUAUUUUGUUCUCCUUGAAUUAUCACACCCUUUAGCUUAUUAGGCCUUGCUAACUGGACUUUUCCAUCAUUGCUGCAGAAAGGAGUAGCAUUCCUUUUAGUUCUUCUCCUGAUCGUGCUGGCGAUUGGUGUUAUCCACCACUGGGCUUCAAACAAUUUCUAUUUGACCAGGAUGCAGAUGCUUUUUGUUUGUUUCCUUGCUUUUCUUUUGGGCUUGGCGGCAUUUGUUGUUGGAUGGUCACAAGGUGACGACAACAAUUUCAUAAGCUAACUUGUAUAACUUGCUUGAUCCAUUAAUCUUGGAUUGGCCUCAGUCAGAGCUUCAAGCUACAAAUACAUCUCCUUUUACUGCUAAUAAGGUUAUUCUCAUUACUUUUCUUUAUCAGGUAAAGCAUUUGUUGGAGCAUCUGUUGGUUACUUUUCAUUUUUGUUCCUUCUCGCUGGACGAGCUUUGACAGUAAGUUAGAUUGCAUUUGCUUCAUUGAAGUUAGAUCCUUUUGAUAGGGUUUCUUCUCUUUUUGUUCUUAAACUGGUGUUAGAAAUGAACCUUUUCUGGUGUGUAUGUGUAUGUGCUUGCAUCUCCUGUAGGUCCUCCUCUCACCACCAAUUGUAGUUUAUUCUCCUCGAGUACUGCCUGUAUAUGUAUAUGAUGCUCAUGCAGAUUGUGGCAAGAAUGUCAGGUUUGCUUUUCUAUUCUGUUUCUUCAUUUCCUCUCAUUUCUUCGUUGUUUCUAUAUUUUUCCAUAUCAAUUUUUAUUAUCUUUUGAUUUAUGAUAUUGACAAAGAUGCUUCAUUUGUUGUUCACGUCUAAUGUAAUCCCCCUGAACAGCGUUGCAUUUCUUGUGCUUUAUGGGGUUGCUUUGGCAACUGAGGGCUGGGGUGUCGUUGCUAGUUUGAUAAUUUAUCCACCAUUUGCUGGUGCUGCUGUAUCUGCAAUUACACUUGUUGUAGCUUUUGGGUUUGCUGUUUCUCGUCCAUGUUUGACUCUUGAGGUUAGUAAGCUUUUUUUAUUUUAUUUAUUUAUUUAUUUAUGAUUUUUCAAUUAUCAUGCUGCUUUAUUAUGUUGAAUACCUAUAAAAAAUUUCUACUUGUGCUGGUUUUAGAUGAGGUUUUUGUGUUGCCUAACAUCUUUUAACAGAAUGUCAUCUGUUUAAGUUGCUGACAUCUGCUUUAAUCUCCAGACCAUGGAAGAUGCAGUUCACUUUCUCAGUAAGGACACCAUUGUUCAAGCGAUAGCACGAUCUGCCACUAAGGUGGGUGUUUGAUUUGGCUUCAAUCUAUAUGUUUGUAAGACAUUUCCUUUGUGAUGGUCUUAAUAUAAUAUAUGUUGUACUAGAAUUCUAGGCAUUGUGAACUGUCAUACUCAUAUUAUAUUUUUCUCUGCAUAGUCUCUGAUUCUGUAAUAUGUCAAUUAUUCUGAUGUUUAUUUUGUUGUUUUUUUCUGUUUUGCUUUUUAGAUACUCCAACAAUACCAUUAUGUCUUGUGCUUUUAUUGAAGAAAGACAAAUGUGUUAGAACUUGCCUGAGGAGCCCUGGGGAGUAGCUUCAUGGGCCUUGUCAGGAGCCACACCCAUGGGCUUGAAAAUGCAUUAACUUAAAACCUUAAGGCAAUGGGUCUGUAGGCCCUUCUUACCUAUAUGUCCCUCACUUGGCCCAUCCCACCUACACUUGUGUACUUUCUGUUCCAGUAAUAUUGGAUGCUUGCCUAUGGCCGGUGUAGGUGUUCUGGGGGUCAAAAGAAAGCAUACUUAGGAUUCUUAGAAUUUUGUAACCCUAAACAAAAUAGAACGGAGUAAAGGUGUCUAUAACAUUAACACAACUAAAUUGAGACUGAGGAUUAGUUGAGUGUAUCUUUAUGUCUAUAUUACUAUUUAAUAUUUAUCCAAAUAUUAUGGAUAUCUGUAUAUGCAUGCUCCAUUGAAGAAACCUUUUUGAGUCUUGCUUUCAUUUUCUCUAUCUUCAAUUAAUUCCUGCUGGAAUGACCUUAUCUUAAUCUCUACUGGAAAAUUUGUGGAUAAUUGAUUCAGACAAGCACAUUGUGGUUAUGUUUCUUUCAAUCUUUUCUACCUAUUAUUUGAUUUGCUUCAGUCAUGGUAUGACUUAUAAGAGAGUUAUUUAUGGGGAAAAGUCAUUUGUACAGAGAAUGAAAACAAAGGAUGCAAAAAUAGGCUUGGUCUUGAUGACUUGAUAACAUAUCUAAUUGAUACUAGCAACUUACUGCAAAUCCCUAACUGCUUUGUGAAGGUCAUGGAUAUUGUUUAGGGGAAAAAAAGUAUUAUGUUGAAUGUUGCACUAUGAACUUGGCCACUAAUGGAAGAAGUUUAAUCACGAUGUCACUAUGUGCUUUUGUAUUCUGUAUUGUCAAUAGUGUUGAGGAUAUUAACACUUAAAUUAUAGCUAUAUCCAUGUUUUGAUCAGCAUUUGCUGUAAAAGAUAAUACAUACCCUCAUAGAUAUAUCCUCCCACCUCCCUGUGGUUCUGUUUCUAAUCAUUUUGAAAUUUAACUAGAGGUUGAAAUCUUUUAUUUUUAUAGAAUUGGUUUAUUAUUGUUUCUCGUGUAUAAUGUGGAAGGUAUUAUCUUCAUCAUGCAGACAAGAAAUGCUUUAUCUGGAACUUAUUCAGCGCCACAGAGAUCUGCUAGUUCAACAGCUCUUUUGGUUGGAGACCCUACUGCUGCACGGGAUAAGGCAGGAAACCUUGUGCUUCCUAGAGAUGAUGUGAUGAAAUUGAGAGAUCGUCUGAGAAAUGAGGAACUAAUUGUAGGAUCAUUCUUCUGUAGAAUGAGAUACAGGACAUUUUGCCGUGAAUCAGCCAGUGAUUUUGAUCACAGAAGGGAAAUGUGUGCGCAUGCACGAAUUUUGGCUUUGGAAGAGGCAAUUGACACUGAAUGGGUAUACAUGUGGGAUCGUUUUGGUGGUUAUUUAUUACUACUGCUUGGGUUGACUGCUAAAGCAGAACGAGUGCAGGUACAUGAGGAUGUGUCUGCUAAUUUCUUUCCAUGCAUAUAUGUAUGCUUUAUAGUUCCAAUAACAAUGUGAUUGUACUCUUGAUGGAUUAGGAUGAGGUACGCUUGAGGCUUUUCCUUGAUAGCAUAGGGUUCUCAGACCUAAGUGCCAAGAAAAUUAAGAAAUGGUUGCCAGAGGACCGCAGACAAUUUGAAAUUAUUCAAGAAAGGUAGCCACUUUGUUGUAUAUUUUUGCUCUUUUUUUUUUUUUUUUUUAAGUUCAACAUUCAAGUCUUUUCCCUUUGUGUCUAAAUUUCCGUUGUGAUGAACUACUUUGUAGCUAUUUGAGAGAAAAGGAAAUGGAAGAAGAACUCUUAAUGCAAAGACGUGAAGAGGAGGGCAGAGGAAAAGAAAGAAGGAAGGCUCUUCUAGAGAAGGAAGAACGAAAAUGGAAGGAGAUUGAAGCUUCUCUGAUUUCCUCUAUUCCUAAUGCUGGUAGCAGGGAGGCAGCUGCUAUGGCAGCUGCAGUGCGUGCUGUAGGAGGUGAUUCUGUUCUCAGUGAUUCCUUUGCACGAGAAAGGGUUUCAAGCAUUGCACGUCGGAUACGCUUGGCUCAAUUAGCUCGUCGAGCUCUUCAGGUUGGUUUUUCAUAUUUUAGUUAUUUUAGUUCUUAUGAGAAUAUUGCCAGCUGUUUCUGCAGAAUGACAGUGACAAUAUGUUUUCUGUAUAUGGCUUCUCCUGAGUUCUUUUUUUGGUGCUCCUUUAUGGUGUCAUCAUACAAAUGCUAGUACCAGCAUUUCCUACCAUAUCCCCUGUGUGUUCUAGGCUGACUAAAUGAUGGAAGACUAUAGAAUAUGUCCAUGACCAUCAGCUUCUACAGGAUUGUUGUAGGAAGAAAUUUUUGGAUACUGAAUUCUGAAACUAGAACUGGUACCAGAAAACCUCGAACUUACAAACAACAUAUGCAGCAGAAGCUGUUAUAAAAAUCCUACUCAAGUUAUUAGCAAACUUAUCACCAAAUCAGUGGCAAGUCAAAGGUCCUCAGUAGGUUCAUUUGAAUGAGCUGAUGUAAUUUCUGGAUAAAAAAAACUAACAGAUUAAGGGUAGGAAUUUCUAUUUACUUAGUAAUAGUUUAUGAUACUUGACAGUUGACAAUUUUAAGUAGUAAGUCCAGCAACCCAUUAUCAAGGAUAUGAGGGCAUUUGGGGGUUGUUCUCGGUGGAGGCUGAAAUGGAUCUUUUAAUUGCCUAGCAGAAAUUGAGAUUAAACAAAAAAGAGAAAAACAUGAACAAAUGAGAACAGAGAAAAACAUUAACAUAUAAGAACAGAUUGUCAACUUUUUCAUAAUGCUUUUGCUAGUAAUUUCUGACCAGAUUUUUUAGGCAUCACAGUAAAGGUUGCAUCAGACACACAACUGGUAUGGCAUCUCACUGCACUUAAAGAACUGAAACUUCACUAAUUUCAUCUGGAGGCUAAAUUUUUCUUCAAGAAAAUUUGUGGCCCUUCAUGUAAAAUAGGUGAGGCUGUGCCCUUGGAUUGUUGCGUCCAGACUGUUGAGCAGUCAACUAUGCCCCUAAUAAUAAUAACAAGGUGAUCCAGUGCACGAAGCAUCCCUCAUGUGUGGGCAAGCAACUAUGCCCUAUUACUAAUACUAAGACAAUGAUUACGAAGUGGGUUGAAUUCAAAAUUUAAUGAGCCCUAUUGUACUACUAAGAAAAAAUUCUUGUUAAUCUAAACCUGAAUGAUCAAACUUCUGUAUGUAUUUGAACUUUUAUGUCGCUUUUUCUUGAUCCAUUGUGAAUCUGCAUGAAAGUCUGCCUUCAACUAGCUCUUUUGUAUUUAUCUGUAUCUAUAUCUUAUUAGGAUGUUUUACCUGGUCCCUUUGCUGCAUUAUUUUUCUUUGCUUAAUUAAAAUAUUAUAAUGUUCUUUCCUAAUUGUGCCUCUUCAUUUGACUUGUUUUGUUCCUGAUCUAUUAUAGAGAUAAAUGAACUGUGUAGACUGCAUGAAUUUUAUUGUGAAUCUAUUAAAUGUUAUUGGCAGACAGAAAUUGCUGGUGCCAUAUGUAUCCUUGACGAUGAACCAACAACAAGUGGGAGACACUGUGGUGAGAUGGAUCCUAGUGUAUGUCAAACCCGAAAGGUCAGCUUUUCAAUUUCAGUGAUGAUCCAACCUGAGUCUGGGCCAGUGUGCCUUUUAGGCACUGAAUUUCAGAAAAAGGUUUGCUGGGAAAUUCUGGUGGCUGGUGCUGAGCAAGGUAUUGAGGCUGGGCAAGUUGGGCUUCGCUUGAUUACUAAAGGCGAUAGGCAGACCACUGUCGCAAAGGAGUGGAGUAUCAGUGCAACAAGUAUUGCAGAUGGAAGGUUUGUAAAUUUUUGUUGGCAAUUACAUCAUUUAAGGGUUGUAUUUUUUCCUUAGUGCCUUCACAUACUGUCAUUUACUGCUUUCUUUUGUAGUAUUUUCAUCUUUGAAUAGUGAUUGGGACUGCUUACAAAUUGAUUAUUUCAUUUUGUUAUUGAUAACCUAUGCCUUUUCUAUCUCAAGAUAUUGUCUUAUUGGAUUUUUAUGAUUAUUUUGCAGGUGGCACAUUGUGACAAUGACAAUUGAUGCAGAUUUGGGCGAGGCAACUUGCUACCUGGAUGGUGGGUUUGACGGCUUUCAGACUGGUUUACCCUUGUCUGUCAGCAAUACCAUUUGGGAACAAGGGACAGAAGUUUGGGUUGGCUUUAGACCACCUACAGAUGUAGAUGCAUUUGGAAGGUCAGAUAGUGAAGGAGCUGAGUCUAAAAUGCAUAUCAUGGAUGUAUUUUUAUGGGGAAGGUGCUUAACUGAAGAUGAGAUUGCUUCUCUUUACACUGCUAUUGGCUCAACAGAGCAUGGUAUGAUUGACUUUCCUGAAGACAAUUGGCAAUGGGCAGAUUCACCCCCCAGAGUAUGUGCAUGCUUGUUUUUAAUACAGUAUAAAAAGUAUAUAGUGUUGAACAUGACGACUAAUUGUUGCUUCAUGCAUUUCUAUUAGGUUGAUGAGUGGGAUAGUGAUCCUGCAGAUGUAGAUUUAUAUGACAGGGAUGAUGUAGAUUGGGAUGGUCAGUAUUCAAGUGGGAGGAAAAGGAGGUCAGAUCGUGAAGUAGUGGUAGAGAUGGAUUCUUUUGCCAGGAGGUUCAGGAAACCUAGGGUCGAAACACAAGAAGAAAUCAAUCAGCGAAUGCUCUCAGUCGAAUUGGCAGUCAAAGAAGCCCUGUCUGCUAGGGGAGAAAUGCGUUUUACUGACCAGGAGUUCCCUCCAAAUGAUCAAUCAUUAUAUGUAGAUCCAGAAAAUCCUCCUUUAAAGUUACAGGUAAGUUUUGUUGACUUGUAAAUUGCCCCUAACUGCUGUGUUUUCUUUGUUUUCAUAACUUAAUCCUCGAUUUCUAACCUAGGUUGUCUCUGAGUGGAAGAGGCCUGCUGAAAUAGUUAAGGAAAACCACUUGGAUUGUUGCCCAUGCUUGUUUUCUGGAUCUGCAAAUCCCUCUGAUGUUUGUCAGGUUGGAUUGCCUUUGGCUGCAUGACAUGCAAUGCUUUAUCAUCAGUCUCAUGUAUCAUUCCAUUGUUGAGAUUUUGAAGUGGUUUAUUUUAAUGGCUCAAAUUUCCUAAAAGGUGAUCAAUUGUUUAUGGAAUAGGGUCGAUUAGGUGAUUGUUGGUUUUUAAGUGCUGUUGCUGUUCUGACGGAGGUAUCACGAAUAUCAGAAGUGAUUAUCACUCCAGAAUACAAUGAGGAGGGAAUCUAUACUGUUCGCUUCUGCAUUCAGGUAAUUUAUGCAUAAUUUCUCAGCGAUUUAUGCAGCUGAAACUGUCCCAAGAUUUUACAUCGUUGAUGAGUACAUCAAAUUUGCGCUAGGAAAAUCCUCACUCGUGUGGUCAAUUUGUAAUUAGCAGCUAGUUUCCAAUAGAAUAUUUUAUUUGGAUAAAGAACUUAAUGACCAAAAACAAUUCUGAAUUUUCAUGCGUUUUAAUAUUUUACCCAUCCUUCUGAUUUUAUCAAUUAGGUAGAUAGACCUGUUGUUCUUUUACAAUUUUAGCCACCAGUGCCUCUCUCUUUAAAUUAAAUAUCAAUGAACCCACAUUACAGCUAAUAGACGGUUUAUUUUUAUUUUUCUGUCUUCAUUUUAUUUGGUUUCUCUAUUAAAGGCACGCCUCAGGUGCACCUUACUCAGGUGAUUGCCUCUGGAUAGUGGCGCAUGCCUUUCUAAUUUUUUUUUUUUUUCCAGAAUAAGGCACCUAAGGCUCUCUUUAAAUAUAAAAUUGUCCAGCUAGCACCUAUUUGCAUAAAAUAAAUAAAUAAAAGAAAUAGAAUGCAACACAAAAACCAGUGGUGUGCUCUAUGAUCCAGCCACCACUCCAUCUAGCCACCUACUGUAAUCCAACCUCUAGCCAACAGCCAUUCAGAUGUCUCUCUCAAUUUCUCUUUCUAUAUUUCCUACUUUCUUUGUUUCUUCUUUUUUUUCUUUUCCCCAUGUUCUUUAUUCCACUCCCAUCUAUUUAAACUCUAAUACCUUAAAUGCAUGUCUUUAUGCUGCUGAUUUUGUUUUGAUUUGUGUGUGUUCUUUUCCAUGUUUUUCUUUUUUUGUUUUCCUGAUAUCUUAAAAUAUUAUUUUCAGUUUAAGAUAAUUCUCAGAUUUUAUGUUUUUCUUUUAAUUUUUUUUUUUUUUUUAAUUUUGCACCUCACCUUGGUAAAGUGAGUGCCUUUGCCGAGAGGCUAGUGUCUAGACUCUGGCAGUCCUUUGCGUUUUAGCGCGCCUUGCAUCUUUAAUUAUUAGAGUUUCUCGUCUUUUCACUUUCACCAUUAAUCCAGUCGUACUUCGAAGCACCAUUUAUAAAAAAAAAAAAAGUCAUGACUCCAGUGUUAAUUUGGACGAAGUUGUGAGCAGCUGUUAAAAUUGUAAAAGAAAAAUAAUGGGUUCUUGCCAUUGUAGAGACAGAUGGUUAUAAAUAUUAGACUUUGAACUCCUGGAUAACUUUUUGUGAAUAAAAGAAUGUUUGCUCCUUUGCAUGUAUAUGAGCCUCCCUUUUUUCAAAUAUGGUUAGCAUUUCCUUGGUAUAGUUCAAUAAGAAUUUGAUCAGGAAAAAAAAAAAAAAAAAAAAAAAAAGAAAAUUGAAAUGAUAGCUAGCAGACAUAUUGAUACUAUACUAUUAUGGUUUUGUGGUCUUGUUAUAGGUAAGUUUACAUUGCUUGCAAUUCCAUGCCUUUCCGGUUUCGUAUAAUUUUGGAGUUCAUAAUUCCAAUUUUUUUUCUGGUCUCUUUGUAGGGUGAAUGGGUUCCAGUUGUUGUAGAUGAUUGGAUCCCAUGUGAAUCACCAGGUAAACCUGCAUUCGCUACCAGCAGGAAAGGUAAUGAACUCUGGGUGUCUAUAUUGGAGAAAGCAUAUGCCAAAUUGCAUGGCUCUUAUGAGGCAUUGGAAGGUGGGCUUGUCCAAGAUGCUCUUGUGGACCUUACUGGAGGUGCAGGUGAGGAGAUUGACAUGAGGAGUGCACAAGCCCAGAUUGAUCUUGCCAGUGGUAGGCUAUGGUCUCAGUUGCUGCGCUUUAAACAAGAGGGUUUCCUACUUGGAGCUGGUAGUCCAUCAGGCUCUGAUGUGCAUAUCUCUUCAAGCGGCAUUGUGCAAGGCCAUGCUUACUCUAUAUUGCAGGUAGAGUUGCAUUUUUUACCUGACUAUACAUUCAUAUACUAGCUAAAGAAAUCAGUGGAACUGAACUCUUGAAUAAUACUGUUCAGGUUAGAGAGGUAGAUGGACAUAAGGUUGUUCAAAUUCGCAAUCCAUGGGCUAAUGAAGUUGAGUGGAAUGGUCCUUGGUCCGAUUCAUCACCUGAAUGGACCGAUAGAAUGAAACACAAAUUGAAGCAUGUUCCACAGGUUCUAACUGUGCCUCUACAUUAUUCUAAUUUCUUUCAUUCUUUUUCUUCUCUGAAGAUGAGGUUUCUUCAAUGUGAGCCUGAUAUCCUCUUCUCAACAGUCAAAAGAUGGCAUCUUCUGGAUGUCUUGGCAAGACUUUCAGAUCCACUUCCGAUCAAUAUAUGUAUGUCGUGUCUACCCCCCAGAGAUGCGGUAUUCUGUGCAUGGCCAGUGGCGAGGCUAUAGUGCUGGUGGGUGCCAAGAUUAUGCUUCUUGGAAUCAAAAUCCACAGUUUCGAUUGAGGGGCACUGGUUCAGAUGCAUCAUUACCAAUUCAUGUCUUUAUUACCUUAACUCAGGUAUGCUUGAGUUCUGCAUCUUAGGAAUAUUAUUAUGCCUUCAACGGUCUUUUUUUUUUUUAAUGGAGUUCGUAGAUUUAGAUUACUAACUUUCUUUGUAUAGGGGGUGAGUUUCUCUAGAACAGCAGCUGGUUUCAGAAAUUAUCAGUCUAGUCAUGAUUCAAUGAUGUUCUACAUUGGGAUGAGAAUACUUAAGACUCGUGGUCGCCGUGCUUCUUACAAUAUUUACCUACAUGAAUCAGUUGGUGGGACAGAUUAUGUCAAUUCUCGAGAGAUUUCGUGUGAAAUGGUUCUAGAUCCUGAUCCAAAAGGUUACACAAUUGUGCCAACAACUAUACACCCUGGAGAAGAAGCACCAUUUGUUCUGUCUGUUUUCACCAAAGCAUCAAUUACCUUGGAAGCUCUAUAAUAUUCAGUAAUGGCUUUUUUUUUUUUUCAAUUGUCCUUUGGGCUGAGAGCACAUCUGCAAGAUUUCGAGGGGCUUGGGAUCAUGGAUCAUGCACCACAUAAAGACAGGUUUUAAUCAGCCACAACACGAAUCAUUGUACCAAAUGGGAAGGUGAUAUUUUCAGGUUUCUCUCUCUUCCCCCUCUCUGUUCUCUUUCUUAAUAGACAUAAAUUUAUCUCUUUACUUAUCAAUCUCUAAAUUUUCAGUAAGUUUCAGUUAUACAUGGAUGUAUAAUUACACCUCAUUCAGUUCAUUCUUUGUUAUAUGACCUUAAACUGACUAUCUAGAAUUCUAGAUUAAUCACUCAAAUAUCACCUUAAUAUUUUCAUUGCGAAAACCAGUGUUUAACAGGAAUUGAAUUAGUGUUUGGACCCUUUUUCUCUUUUUAUAGAAGGGAAAUGUGCUAUACAUAUGGUUUACUUCCAUCCUGCAAAAGCUGUGGAAUAUUGUAUAUUCUUCAGUAUAAACCUUAAAGUUUUCAUUUGAUCCUAGUUCCCUGGUUAGAUUCACUGGCAUUGAUACCUAUGAUGAUCAUGGUUUUAUGUGGGCAUAUGUUAGCUAUUUGGAGUGAUUUGGAGUUAUUGGUAUUGGCAGGCUGCCAGGUUGUGGUUCUCAGCUGUCAGGAUGGACUGUAAGUAUGUCACUGGAAUGAUGCAAUUAUGAACUUAAUUUCUGUGUGAAUGCAACUGGCUAGAUGUGAAGACUGAUCUUAUCGAACAGUGUAAAUUCUGGAGGCUCCCUCAGAUUUGGAUGAUUUGUGUCCAUCGGGGUGGAAAAGUUGUACAUUUGUAGGUAUUGUAAUUGUAAGAAAUAUAGGUCUGACCAUGUAAAUGAAAGGGAAAAGGAAGAAAGUUGAAAAGCAAUAGGAAAAAUAAUUACUAACACUAAUUCAAGGUGAAUAUCGAAAAGCAUUGUAGCUGGAGAAGUUUCAGCUGCAGUUUUGUUGUGCUUUGUAACCCAAACCAUCCGUCAUUUGUACAAAUAUUCCUUUUUGCAAUAUAAUUACCUUUCCUUUUUUGAUUUGGUAAUCUCAGCUUCUGUACUUUGAUUGUUUCUAUGUUAAUGCUGAUGGAUCUUUAGAUCUUUCUUAUAUAUGAUUUUUGCAUGUGUUAGAACAUUGAACGUAAUGUAAUAUAAUUAUGCACUAGAAAUGUGGAAAUACCUUUGGUUAUUUUAAACUUUGUCAGUAAUCGCAAGUUACCUUAAAAUUGACCUUUUGACACAUUUUAUUUAACAGUAUGACCUAUUUUAAGCUAAUGUUAAUUUAGUUGGCAGAAUAUACACUUUCACGUCACCUGUGAAAACUAGAAAUGAAAGUCAGGUGGGCCAAAAAUUUUUAAAGGUUAGAGAGCAAAAGUUUUAAAAAAAAAAAAGGGAAUAAAAAUAUAAAUUGGUCCUUGAAUUAUAAUUCAAAUUAACAUACAAGGACUUUUAUUCUUAAAAAUUAACUCUAAUGUUCCUAAAUUAUGAUUUAUUAACAUUUUGGUGCCUUUGUCCAGAAUAGAGGGACCAAAAUGUUAUCGGAAAUUAUAAGGGAAUGAUCAAAGUGCUAAGGAAAUCAUAAGUUAGGAAUUUUAUAGUUAGUCUGAUUAUAAUCUUAGGGAUCAAUCUUUCAAUCAAUUGAUAGUUAAAAGCAGUUGUUUUGGAUGGAAGGACCGACGUGUUAACUGUGUUAAUCUAAUUAUGGUUCUGGGAGCAAUUUAUUUUUUCCCAAAAAAAUUCAUUAUUUUAAUCUUUAAAAUAUAUAAUUUAAAAUUUUCUCGUGUUAAUCUGAUUAUAGUUCGAACCAAUUUUUUUUUUAAAUCAUUAUUUUAAAAGAUAUAAUUUAAAAUUUUCACAGCUUUGAGAGGAUAAUUUAAAAAAAAAGUUUUUGGCUAGAGGGUGCGGAGCUGCCCCUAGCCCUUGCUUAGUUCCGCCAAUGCCUCGAACUAUGCGAGUUACUAUAAUUUCAACCUAAAAUGACAUUUUAUUGGAAGAUAUGGGACGAUCUUCACGAUUCUAUGGCUAUGAUUUUCAUGAUUUUGUUUUCCUUUUCUUUUCCCUUUCGUAGAUACUUUCCUAUUGUAAAAUCUUGAUACUUCAUCUUUUAGGAGAUUAUUCUUAUUCCAUAAGUUUAGGAAUUUACCUUGUACAAAGAAAUUAUUUGAGCUGUAAUCCUUAUAUAUAAAUCAUUUUAUUGUUAAUAAAGCGUAGAACUUUCAGCGUUAUUUUUUCUCAGUUUUGUUCAUGGUAUCAGAGCCAUGGUUGAUACAAAAAAAAAGAAGAGGAGAGUCCUGGUGUAGACAAGAAAACUUCAAAUCCUUAUAUACUGAAUUCAAAUGACAACCUGGGUAAUAUAAUUACCCAAGUUCAGUUAAAAGGCGAAAACCACGAUGAACGGGCAUGUGCUAUGCGAACUGCAUUACGAGCCAAAAAGAAAUAUGGCUUCAUUGAUGGAACUGUCAAACAACCAGCGAAUGAUGCGCUUGAACUUGAAGAUUGGUGGACUAUUAACUCCAUGCUUGUUUCUUGGUUGUUUAACGCAAUUGAGCCUACUCUUCGUUCAAUCAUAUCUCACGUGGAGAAUGUCACUGAGUUAUGGGAGGAUAUUGAGCAACGAUUCUCCAUUAGGAAUGGUCUAAGAGUGCAACAACUGAGAUCAGAUCUAGUGAAUUGCAAGGAAGAUAGGCAGGCCAUAGUAACUUAUUAUGGUGGACUCAAAACAAUUUGGGAUGAAUUGAAUAAUUAUGAUAAAAUACCAGUGUGUAACUGCUUCGGAUACAAAUGCAACCUCACUCUUAAAUUAGAAAGAAAGCGUGAAGAAGAGAGAGUCCAUCAAUUUUUGAUGGGCUUGGAUGAAUAAGGGUAUGGAGCAGUAUGUUCCAAUAUUUUGAGCACUAAACCCUUGCCGAACCUAAAUCGAGUUUAUACCAUGAUUGUCCAGCAAGAACGAGUGCGGACUAUGACAUGGAUGAAAGAAGAAAGAGGUCAUCCUAUGAGUUUUGUUAUCCAAAUUGGCAGUCGAAAUUUAGGGGGGGAUGGAAAGGAUAAAACAACUAUUUGUUCUAAUUGCAAAAAAGAGGGACAUGAUGCUGAUGGUUGCUUUCAGUUGAUUGGGUAUCCGGAAUGGUGGGGUAACAGAGCGCGCACAACCACAUCUAGACGUGGUGGUGGGCGCAGACGUGUGAACAAUGGAGGACAUGAUAAGGGAAUUGCUCGGGCCAAUGCUGCUCAAGCUUCUGGAACAAAUAAUGGGCAUUGUAUUGUUUUUGAUUCAGAUAGAAAAGCACUUAGUGGGCUAAAUGAAGAGCAAUGGGCAACGUUGUUUGGCAUGUUGAGUUCACACAAAAACGGUACUAAUGAGAGGUUGGCAGGUAAAUAAAAGCUUUUGUCUUGGAUUAUUGACACAGAAGCUUCCCAUCAUAUGAUCGGAACAUUUUCAUCUUUAAGAGAAGUACGUGACAUUAAACCAUGUCUAGUAGAAUUACCAAAUGGGCGACAUUGCUUGGCAUGUUGAGCUCACACAAAAACGGUACUAAUGAGAGGUUGACAGGUCAAUAAAAGCUUUUGUCUUGGAUUAUUGACUCAGGAGCUUCUCAUCCAAUUAUCGGAACAUUUUCAUCUUUAAGAGAAGUAUGUGACAUUAAACCAUGUCCAGUAGAAUUACCAAAUGGAGAGGAGGUCAUGGCAGUAAAAGAGGGGACCGUGUAUCUUGGAGGAGGAUUGAAGUUGCAACAUGUUCUUUUUGUGCCUAAUUUAAAAUGCAGUUUAAUUUCUGUAUCGCAAUUUCUUGAUGCUCAAAUUACAUAAUUCUAAUCACUAAAAAAAUUUGUCCUAUACAGGACCUAAAUUCGAGGAAGCUGAUUGGAGUAGUGAACGUCUUCAGGGGCUUUAUUUUCUCAAAGGAGUAGCUUCGAUGCAUGCUUGCAAGAUUAAUGGUAUUUCGUCUUUCGAGCUUUUGCAUAGGAGAAUGGGUCAUCCUUCUUCUAAGGUGAUAGAGUUGAUUUCUAAAUUUAGUGGUUCUAAUAGAAAUAAUAAUAAGGCUUGUGAUGCUUGUUUUAGAGCUAAACAGACUAGAGAGGUGUCCUUUUCUAGUGAAAAUAAAGCUAAAGAAUGUUUUAAUUUAAUACAUUGUGAUUUAUGGGGACCUUAUAGAGUUCCAGCUUCUUGUGAUGUAAUUUAUUUUUGACUAUUGUUGAUGAUUGUUCUCGUACUGUGUGGAUUUAUUUAUUGAAUAGGAAAAAUGAGGUUGCUUGUGUUCUUAAAAGGUUCAUUAUAAUGAUUCAAAGACAAUUUAAUAAAGCUGUGAAAAUCAUUGAAAGUGACAAUGGAAGUGAAUUCUUAUGUUUGAAAGAAUACUUUAAUGAACAUGGAAUUUUGCAUCAAACAUCAUGUAUGUGACAUCCCAGGUUUGGGGCACAACACCUUAGGCGAAUCCCACAUCGGCUACGCACAAGGUGGAAGUCCUAUACAUAAAGGGUGGCAACCUUGAACAUGGUAGACGCGUUUUGGGCUGGCAGAGCGGAGGUUUCCCUAGCCCAGAAACAAAACCGUGAGGGUUCAGGCCAGGUUUGGCACCCAAAGCGGACAAUAUCACACUAGGGCUGGGCUGUUACAAUUUGGUAUCAGAGCCAAGCCUUGUCCCUCUGGCCGGUGGUGGGGCAAACCUCAGCGAGGACGCUGAGUCCCUAAGGGGGGGUGUAUGUGACAUCCCAGGUUUGGGGCACAACACCUUAGGCGAAUCCCACAUCGGCUACGCACAAGGUGGAAGUUUGUUAAAGCUUGUUUUGAAGGUUAGUGUGACAUCCCAGGUUUGGGGCACAACACCUUAGGCGAAUCCCACAUCGGCUACGCACAAGGUGGAAGUCCUAUACAUAAAGGGUGGCAACCUUGAACAUGGUAGACGCGUUUUGGGCUGGCAGAGCGGAGGUUUUCCCUGGCCCAAAAACAAAACCGUGAGGGUUCAGGCCAGGUUUGGCACCCAAAGCGGACAAUAUCUACCAUGGGCUGGGCUGUUACAAUGUAUAGGGACGCUUCAAUAGAAUGGACAUGUAGAAAGAAAGCAUCGUCAUUUUCUUAAUGUGGUAAGAGCAUUGCAUUUUCAAGCACAUCUACCUAUUGAGUUUUAGGGUGAAUGUAUUCUUACAGCUGGAUAUUUGAUUAAUAGAACACCUUCUAUGCUAUUAAAUGGUAAAACACCAUAUGAAAUUCUUUUUGGGCAAGUACCCUCCUAUAGACACAUUCGGACUUUUGGAUGUCUUUGUUAUGCACAUAAUUUGAACAAAGAUAAAGAUAAAUUUGCUAGUAGGAGUUGAAAGUGUAUUUUUGUAGGAUAUCCAUUCAAGAAGAAAGGAUGAAAAUUAUGACUUAGAAACUUGUCAGUAUUUCAUUUCUAGGGAUGUAGUAUUUGUGGAGACAGAAUUUCCAUAUGCCAAUGAUAAUAUUGCAGCUGUUGAGGUAGUUAAAAAUAAUUCUAUGGUUGAGAAUGGUGUUGUAGAGAAUUCAGAAACACAGGUGGAGAGAAUGAGGUAAGUCAUGGUGUUGACAAAAUAAUUGCUGUUGAUGGAGGACUUGAUAUUGAGAAUAGAAGGGAUGAUAGUAAAAAAGGAAAUAAUAUUGUUGAAAAGCAACGUGGUAGAGGGCAAAGGGUUAAGCAACCUUCUAUUCGUUUGAAGGAUUAUGUGACUAAUACCAUUCAAGUAAGCCCCUCGACAUGUUCAUCAAUCUAUUCAAAUUCCUCAGGUAUUGCUUAUCUUAUAACACAUUAUUUGAAUUAUAAUAAUUUUUCUUUGCAACAUCGGUUGUUUUUGGCAAAUGUUACUGUAGGUUGUGAGCCUCUCAUAUACGCUGAGGCUGUUAACUAUGAAAUUUGGAGAGAAGAAAUGAGAAAGGAGAUACAUGCUUUAGAGGAAAAUGGUACAUGGACAGUAGAAGACUAACCUCCUAGAAAGAAAGCAAUCGGAAGCAAGUGGGUGUAUAAAAUUAAAUACAACUCAGACAAAAGCAUUGAAUGAUGCAAGGUGCGAUUGGUAAUACUUGGAAACAAUCAAGUUGAAGGUAUUGACUACCAUGAGACAUUUGGACCUGCAGCAAAGAUGGUUACUGUGUGCACCUUUCUUGCUGUUGCGGUCGAAAAGAAUUGGGAAUUACGUCAAAUGGAUGUACAAAAUACAUUCUUACAUGGUGACUUAAAUGAGAAAGUUUAUAUGAAAAUGCUACCUGGUUUUGUUUCUCAAACUUUCGGAAAGGUAUGCAGUCUUUGAAAAUCUCUAUAUGAUUUAAGACAAGCACCACGGUGUUGGUUUGCCAAAUUUGUAACAUCCUUGAAAACUUAUGGUUUUAAACAAUCAUAUUCAGAUUAUUCUUUGUUUACUUUUCGAAAUGGACAUGUUCAGUUGAAUAUCCUUAUCUAUAUUGAUGACCUCAUUAUUUCUGGUAAUGAUAGCUUAGCAGUAAAAAAAUUUAAGGAUUAUUUAAACCGUUGUUUUCAUGUGAAAGAUUUGUUAAAAUAUUUCUUAGGAAUAGAGGUGGCAUGAAAUUCUGAUGAUAUUUUCUUGUGUCAAUGCAAAUACGUGUUAGAUAUCAUUACUGAAGCUGGUUCAUCGGAGCUAAGCCGACUAAGACUCCUCUUGAACAAAAUCACAAGUUGGUGCUUACGAAGGGACUUGAUGUUGAUGAUCCUACACAAUAUAAGCAUUUAAUGGGGAAACUUAUUUAUUUGACUCUCACGCGACCAAAACUAUCUUAAUGUGUGCAUGUUCUUGCAUAGUUUAUGCAGUAACCCAAGAAAGACCAUUGGGAAGCAGCUUUGAGAGUUGUGUGCUAUUUGAAAGGAAACUCAGGCCAAGGAGUUCUCUUGCAUGUCAAUUGUGAUAUGAAAUUAUAUGCUUAUUGUGACUCUGAUUGGGUAGGUUGCCCUUUGACUCAACGAUUUUUGACUGACUAUUUUAUUCUCUAGGGAAAUUCUCAUGUUUCAUGGAAAACUAAAAAACAA